GUGUAUUACAUUAUAACGUUGUGUCGUUUGUUUUCUCUUAUUUUUUAGUGUAAAUUCACAUUGCGAUAAGACGUGUCACGGUACUUGUCUAUCCCAAAUUCAUGUAUUUGGUUUUGAUGUUAUAUAUAUAUGUUAUAUUUGUUAUUCUCGUGGGAUUUUGUCUAUGUGUGUUACAUUUUAGUGUUAUGUCGUUGUUCUCCUCUUAUAUUUAAUGCGUUUCCCUCGGUUUUAGUUUGUUACCCAGAUUUUGUUUUUUGUCCAUGGAUUUAUGAGUUUUGAACAGCGGUAUACUACUGUUGCCUUUAUUUAAUG
rnacentral:lncRNA from 1 species